CUCCUGCCCAGCCUCCCACAGACCCAGAGGGACCCUGAGUCGGCCCGGCUGCUGCCAUGAGCAGCGGCCUCCUGUGCUGCGUGGCCUUGUGUCUCCUCCGUGCAGGUCUGGGGAUGGCCGGCGUCACUCAGUCCCCGACAUUCCAGGUGGUGACAACAGGACAGACGGUGACCUUGAGGUGUGCCCAGGACUUGAACCACAAUGCUAUGUACUGGUACCGACAGGACCUGGGUCACGGGCUGAGGCUGAUCCAUUACUCUGCGGGUAUUGGGUUCACGGACGAAGGAGAGGUCCCCGAUGGGUACAGCGUCUCUAGAUCAGAUAUAAAGAACUUCCCCCUCACUCUGAAGUCGGCCACCCCCGCCCAGACAUCUGUGUACUUCUGUGCCAGCAGAGCCCAGGAGGCCUGCUCCCUGGAGCAGCCAGAGCUGCAGAAGUGCUAA